UACAGAGGGUGCAAGCGUUGCUCGGAAUCAUUGGGCGUAAAGGGUAGGUAGGUGGUCUCAUUUGUCUGGGGUGAAAGCCCAGGGCUUAACCCUGGAAGUGCCCCGGAAACGGUGAGACUGGAGUACUGGAGAGGGUCGUGGAAUUCCCGGUGUAGCGGUGAAAUGCGUAGAGAUCGGGAGGAACACCAGAGGCGAAGGCGGCGACCUGGACGAUCACUGACACUGAGACGACGAAAGCGUGGGUAGCAAACAGG
rnacentral:rRNA from 1 species